CUGCUGCCUUCCGUAGGAGUCUGGGCCGUAUCUCAGUCCCAAUGUGGCCGGCCAACCUCUCAGUCCGGCUACUGAUCGUCGCCUUGGUGGGCCGUUACCUCACCAACUAGCUAAUCAGACGCGAGGCCAUCUUCCAGCGAUAAAUCUUUGGCAUCAGUGCCAUGCGACACCAAUGCGUCAUGCGGUAUUAGCAGUCGUUUCCAACUGUUGUCCCCCUCUGGAAGGCAGGUUCCUCACGUCG
rnacentral:rRNA from 1 species